rnacentral:rRNA from 1 species
CCUACGGGUGGCAGCAGUGAGGAAUAUUGGUCAAUGGGCGCGAGCCUGAACCAGCCAAGUAGCGUGAGGGAAGACUGCCCUAUGGGUUGUAAACCUCUUUUGUCAGGGAGCAACGCCGGCUACGUGUAGCCGGACUGAGAGUACCUGAAGAAAAAGCAUCGGCUAACUCCGUGCCAGCAGCCGCGGUAAUACGGAGGAUGCGAGCGUUAUCCGGAUUUAUUGGGUUUAAAGGGUGCGUAGGCGGAAUGCCAAGUCAGCGGUAAAAUCGCGGGGCUCAACCUCGCUCCGCCGUUGAAACUGGCGUGCUUGGGUGGGCGAGAGGUAUGCGGAAUGCGUGGUGUAGCGGUGAAAUGCAUAGAUAUCACGCAGAACUCCGAUUGCGAAGGCAGCAUACCGGCGCCCAACUGACGCUGAAGCACGAAAGCGUGGGUAUCGAACAGGAUUAGAUACCCUGGUAGUC